GUAACUUCCAGUAAUUUUUAAUCUGUUCCUCUUUUGCCAAAGUACAUUGACAUACUGACUAUCUGGAAGUUGCAAAACAAGAAGAAAAACCUUGGAGCAGACAAAUAAAGCAGCUUAACCAUCUGACCAGUGUUUACCAGCAAAGAGCAAAGGUGCAGCAAAUUGAGUAUCUACCAUAUGUAUGCACAACCUUGUUGUUGUCAAUAACCCAUGAGUGAUAAGGGCAUCUGAUGAAAGAUUCCCGGCAGACAGACAUGCAUGCAUAUCCAGUUCUUAACUAACCUGUGACUGAGUUUGUAUUACUUUUAGGUUAAACUGAAACAACAACACUACAAAUAAUCAAAAGGUUCAACAUUUUUGGAAAUAUCAUUAUUCAUUUUCUUGCAGAGUGAGCAUGAGGAUCAAUACCAUUCUCGUGUCUGUAGGCUAAAGCUACAGUUGAUUCACUUAGCAAAAAUACUAAAACAGGGGAAAUGGUUUGCCCGUUUCAGUCCAAAUCCACUCUAGCGUUCACUUACUAAGACGUCAUGUCUCUAUUGUUUAUUAAGGUCAACAAACAGAAAUGCAAAACCAACAAUUUGGAGUUUUAGAGUGUGUUUUAUAGUGUAACUACUUCUCAAUGACGAAAUGUGCUCAGCGUUUGUGUGGAGCCUCUCCGCUGGUUGGAAGAAAAAGUUACAAACUGCAAGUUAUCCAUUGUACAUUACUGUAAGGAUAUGGAUUAAACAAACAAGAUACACAUGUUACAUACUUUAGUGUUGCACACAAACAUAUCCCAGUUUUAUCUUUGCUUCCUAGAUGUAUCUUUGUCUUCUAAUCACCACAUUUUGUUUACUGUAUAAGUAUCAAAGAUCGAAAGGGUCCUUUCUGGAUGUUUGUUUUUAGAAAAUUUAAGUUCUUGUUAGCUAGGCUGCAUUAAAAUGCCAUUGACUACUUCAGUUACAUUUCCUUAAAACUUUUUGAAAGAUGAUGUAAAAAGGCACAGCACCUAAAUCACUAUAUGUUUUCCCAAUGGUUCAUGUUCUUUCCCUGUAUGAAUGCAAAUAGAGUGGAUGUUAGCUCCUUUUUCUUAGUCAAUGGAUGGCUCUUGUAUGUAUCUUUCUUGGCUUUUUGCUAAGAUUGCAAGGUGAUGGACACCACUACUGGCUUACAUGGCUCAGCUUGAACAUCACUAAUGCAGGGAUGCUUGCGUAAAGCUCAAGUUUUGUUUUUGUUUUUUGAUUGAAAGUCUUUGCUUUAUCCAAGAGGGAGCAGCAGAUGCUUGUAGAGGAGAUCCAACAAAUAUUGUAGUGCCUUUAUCAGUAAAAUGUUUAAAAUAUCCUUGAUUCAUUCAAUAUAAUGGCCAAAGCAUAUAAAUGUUAUGUGGCAUUUUAAUUUAACAUUACAUUUAUUUAUUUAGCUGACACAUUUAUCCAAAGCGACUUACAAUUGCUGUGUCAGAGGUUGCAAGCCCCUCUGAACGAGGGGUGAAGUGUCUUGCUCAGGGACACAAUGGUGGAUGGGUUACAGUGGGGGAUUGAACCAAGGUCUUUCACACCAAAGGCAUGCGACUUUAUCCAUUGAGCCAUCACCACACCGUUUACACUAUUCACCUAGAAUUAUUUAAAUCUUAUGACAUUUCCUGACUGAACUAGGUGGAGUAAGGCUUGAUACUGGUGGUGACUAUCUUCAUAUGAGUCUGUCCUGACAAAAAAUAUAUAUGGUUGGUACACAUUUAGCAAAUAACAAUCUGUAUAAAAUAACAAUAAAUGAAACUCAGCUGGCCAGAGAGGGGCACUGAAUUACCUAUAACUUACAGGCUGCUUGAACCAGAAACAGCACUGC